rnacentral:tRNA from 1 species
AGGGUUGUAGUUUAUUUAUAAUAACAUUUGAUUUGCAUUCAAAAAAUAUUGAUUCAUUCAAUCUUC